GUACCAGGAAAAAGGAGACUUGUAACAUUACAUGUUCGAAGAAACCCAAUGCGGUCAGUCCGUUUUUGUUAGUGUCAUAGUGAACAUUGAAAUAUUGUAAUAAACGGCUUUUACAACAUGUUGCGGAAAAACUGUUGUGUGAUGGCGAUGGUGGUGUUUCUGGUGGCGGUGUUGCCGUCCGCGAGCGCGCAAUUUCCUUCCGCGCCCGACGUGCCGCACAGCGCACCCUCACAACCAAUGACUACAAAACACGUCGGCGCCCUGCUGGGUCUCAUCGACCACAUUCUGACCCCUGCCAUGGUGCCAAAUUUAAAUGAUGACGGCUCUACGCUUGGGAUAAGAAAAUGCCCAAAGGACUGUUAUCUAGUGGGUGGAGGACAGUGUUUAAAAAAAGAUCCCGAUGCGGAGAACCGAAAUUGUUAAUAAUAAAAAAGCUAUAGGUCAUUGAAAGUUUUGAUGGAUUUAAGAAUCAUUCUAAAAUUCUUUAGUGCUUUGUUCUAUUUAAAGUUUUCUAUUUAUUCUAACUAUACAUCGGAACUACAUUUUUUCUAUUUCAAUUUCUUGUCCCAUGGUACUAACAAGUAAUUGACUAGAUGCAGUCUUAUCAAUAGACUUUAAAUAACAAUGCAAAAUGAGUUCAAAAAGUUGUUUACAUUAAUUCGUUCAAAAGCAAAAGAAUUUAAAAUUUUAUUUUCAUUACUAAUUAUACUGUUUGCCUAGUUGCAGUUGUGAAUCAUUAUCUAUGUAUUUUCCUGUUAAAAUUAUAUUAUUAGUACGCUGAGUUAAUGUAAUAUGCGUAUUACUAACAAGAUAGAUUACUGUUUUGUUAUGUGACAUAAGGCGUCCCGACUUGUGCUCCUCUACCUUACUUCCAGUACCUUUGCUUCCGAACGCAACAGUCAGAUUCAUAGAAGUUUUCUGUGUUGGUUUUUUAAAAACGUGUGGAAACGAGACAAAAUAUUGUUCAACUAACAAAGAUGUAGACGUUAAGUUUUAUAUUAUAGGUUGUGUAAUAUUUAUUUAUCAAAGUCGUUUUAAUGAUUGAACUUGCAUUAGAAUAUAUAAAUAAAAA